GCAGUCGAGCGGUAGCACAGAGAGCUUGCUCUCGGGUGACGAGCGGCGGACGGGUGAGUAAUGUCUGGGAAACUGCCUGAUGGAGGGGGAUAACUACUGGAAACGGUAGCUAAUACCGCAUAAUGUCGCAAGACCAAAGUGGGGGACCUUCGGGCCUCAUGCCAUCAGAUGUGCCCAGAUGGGAUUAGCUAGUAGGUGGGGUAACGGCUCACCUAGGCGACGAUCCCUAGCUGGUCUGAGAGGAUGACCAGCCACACUGGAACUGAGACACGGUCCAGACUCCUACGGGAGGCAGCAGUGGGGAAUAUUGCACAAUGGGCGCAAGCCUGAUGCAGCCAUGCCGCGUGUGUGAAGAAGGCCUUCGGGUUGUAAAGCACUUUCAGCGGGGAGGAAGGCGAUAAGGUUAAUAACCUUGUCGAUUGACGUUACCCGCAGAAGAAGCACCGGCUAACUCCGUGCCAGCAGCCGCGGUAAUACGGAGGGUGCAAGCGUUAAUCGGAAUUACUGGGCGUAAAGCGCACGCAGGCGGUCUGUCAAGUCGGAUGUGAAAUCCCCGGGCUCAACCUGGGAACUGCAUUCGAAACUGGCAGGCUAGAGUCUUGUAGAGGGGGGUAGAAUUCCAGGUGUAGCGGUGAAAUGCGUAGAGAUCUGGAGGAAUACCGGUGGCGAAGGCGGCCCCCUGGACAAAGACUGACGCUCAGGUGCGAAAGCGUGGGGAGCAAACAGGAUUAGAUACCCUGGUAGUCCACGCCGUAAACGAUGUCGAUUUGGAGGUUGUGCCCUUGAGGCGUGGCUUCCGGAGCUAACGCGUUAAAUCGACCGCCUGGGGAGUACGGCCGCAAGGUUAAAACUCAAAUGAAUUGACGGGGGCCCGCACAAGCGGUGGAGCAUGUGGUUUAAUUCGAUGCAACGCGAAGAACCUUACCUGGUCUUGACAUCCACAGAACUUUCCAGAGAUGGAUUGGUGCCUUCGGGAACUGUGAGACAGGUGCUGCAUGGCUGUCGUCAGCUCGUGUUGUGAAAUGUUGGGUUAAGUCCCGCAACGAGCGCAACCCUUAUCCUUUGUUGCCAGCGGUCCGGCCGGGAACUCAAAGGAGACUGCCAGUGAUAAACUGGAGGAAGGUGGGGAUGACGUCAAGUCAUCAUGGCCCUUACGACCAGGGCUACACACGUGCUACAAUGGCAUAUACAAAGAGAAGCGACCUCGCGAGAGCAAGCGGACCUCAUAAAGUAUGUCGUAGUCCGGAUUGGAGUCUGCAACUCGACUCCAUGAAGUCGGAAUCGCUAGUAAUCGUAGAUCAGAAUGCUACGGUGAAUACGUUCCCGGGCCUUGUACACACCGCCCGUCACACCAUGGGAGUGGGUUGCAAAAGAAGUAGGUAGCUUAACCUUCGGGAGGGCG
rnacentral:rRNA from 1 species